rnacentral:rRNA from 1 species
CAUAAAUGAUUUUUGGAUUCGGAGCGAGUGGCGAACUGGUGAGUAACACGUGGGUAACCUGCCCCGAAGCGGGGGAUAACAUUUGGAAACAAGUGCUAAUACCGCAUAAUUAGUUGGAACCGCAUGGUUCCAACUUGAAAGAUGGCUCUGCUAUCACUUCGGGAUGGACCCGCGCCGUAUUAGUUAGUUGGUGAGAUAAAAGCCCACCAAGACGAUGAUACGUAGCCGACCUGAGAGGGUAAUCGGCCACAUUGGGACUGAAACACGGCCCAAACUCCUACGGGAGGCAGCAGUAGGGAAUCUUCCACAAUGGACGAAAGUCUGAUGGAGCAACGCCGCGUGAGUGAUGAAGGUUUUCGGAUCGUAAAACUCUGUUGUUAAAGAAGAACAAGUGUUAGAGUAACUGUUAACACUUUGACGGUAUUUAACCAGAAAGCCACG